rnacentral:rRNA from 1 species
CAUAUCAAUAAGCGGAGGAAAAGAAACUAACAAGGAUUCCCCUAGUAACUGCGAGUGAAGCGGGAAAAGCUCAAAUUUAAAAUCUGUCAGUCUUUGGCUGUCCGAGUUGUAAUCUAGAGAAGUGUUAUCCGCGCUGGACCGUGUACAAGUCUCCUGGAAUGGAGCGUCAUAGAGGGUGAGAAUCCCGUCUUUGACACGGACUGCCAGGGCUUUGUGAUGCGCUCUCAAAGAGUCGAGUUGUUUGGGAAUGCAGCUCAAAAUGGGUGGUAAAUUCCAUCUAAAGCUAAAUAUUGGCGAGAGACCGAUAGCGAACAAGUACCGUGAGGGAAAGAUGAAAAGAACUUUGGAAAGAGAGUUAAACAGUACGUGAAAUUGCUGAAAGGGAAACGCUUGAAGUCAGUCGCGUUGUUCAGGGAUCAACCUUGCUUUUGCUUGGUGUAUUCUCUGGUUGACGGGUCAGCAUCAAUUUUGACUAUUGGAAAAAGAUUAAGGGAAUGUGGCAUCCUUGGAUGUGUUAUAGCCCUUGGUUGCAUACAAUGGUUGGGAUUGAGGAACUCAGCACGCCGAAAGGCCGGGUUUUAACCACGUACGUGCUUAGGAUGCUGGCAUAAUGGCUUUAAUCGACCCGUCUUGAAACACGGACCAAGGAGUCUAACAUGCCUGCGAGUGUUUGGGUGGAAAACCCGAGCGCGUAAUGAAAGUGAAAGUUGAGAUCCUUGUCAUGGGGAGCAUCGACGCCCGGACCAGACCUUUUGUGACGGUUCCGCGGUAGAGCAUGUAUGUUGGGACCCGAAAGAUGGUGAACUAUGCCUGAAUAGGGUGAAGCCAGAGGAAACUCUGGUGGAGGCUCGUAGCGAUUCUGACGUGCAAAUCGAUCGUCAAAUUUGGGUAUAGGGGGCGAAAGACUAAUCGAACCAUCUAGUAGCUGG